rnacentral:rRNA from 1 species
GUGGGGAAUAUUGGACAAUGGGGGGAACCCUGAUCCAGCCAUGCCGCGUGUGUGAAGAAGGCCUUUUGGUUGUAAAGCACUUUAAGCGAGGAGGAGGCUACCGAGAUUAAUACUCUUGGAUAGUGGACGUUACUCGCAGAAUAAGCACCGGCUAACUCUGUGCCAGCAGCCGCGGUAAUACAGAGGGUGCAAGCGUUAAUCGGAUUUACUGGGCGUAAAGCGCGCGUAGGUGGCCAAUUAAGUCAAAUGUGUAAUCCCCGAGCUUAACUUGGGAAUUGCAUUCGAUACUGGUUGGCUAGAGUAUGGGAGAGGAUGGUAGAAUUCCAGGUGUAGCGGUGAAAUGCGUAGAGAUCUGGAGGAAUACCGAUGGCGAAGGCAGCCAUCUGGCCUAAUACUGACACUGAGGUGCGAAAGCAUGGGGAGCAAACAGGAUUAGAAACCCCGGUAGUCC